GCUCGCGUGGCGGAAUUGGUAGACGCGUAUGAUUCAGGAUCAUAUGGUGAGAGCCGUGGAGGUUCGAGUCCUCUCGCGAGCACCA
rnacentral:tRNA from 1 species